GUUCUUCGAUGACGAAAUAUGAACAAUUCACAUGUCAGAUUUCGGUGAUGUUGUAAUCAAAAUCAAUGAGAAUGAAUUUCAUAUUUCCUGAUUUCAGC